CUGUAGAGAUAAGGGAGUGAGGAGAUAGCGAGGCAGAGAGAGGAAGAGGCGCUCGGGGCAGCAGAGCGAUUCCUUGUUGUUCAUGUCGAUUCCGAGAUCCCCCACCAGUGGAGCUUGAUUUCUCUCUCCUUCCUCUUCGAUUCCCCCCUCCUGCUGUUUGUUGGUCUCUCAAUUUCCCUCUCGAGCGCGUGUUUUUUUGUUCAUUUCUCGGUGCGUAGCUUCUAGGGUUCGUCCUUUGGUGUGUUGGUAGCUUUAGGUGUGGUUAGGUUCCUCAUUUGGGCUGUGCUAGAUGCAAUGCGCAUGUCCUCUAUGGCCUGUGAGUGUCUGUAUGUGCUUUUAAGUCCUGGGUGAUUGAACUGCAGGUUUAGUGUUACUGUAUAUCCCCCUAGUUUCAGUGUUAUGUACCGUAGACUUACUGCAUUUUUUGCCCCAGACUGACUGUAAUCCCUGUAGUUUGGAAUGUCAUAUACUAUGAAUUUGCACUAGUCACUGUGUAAUUCAGCCCAUACUUUCAAUGUAACUCACUCUAUAUUUACUGUGUAUUUUGCCUCAUUUUCAGUGUAAUUCACAGUAUUAUUUCUGUGUUUGUUGCCCCAUUUUCUGUUCCUGUAGUUUUAGUGCUUCUGUUUUCUUUUGCCCCAUUUUCAGUGUAAUUCACUCUAGUUUUACUGUGGUUUUUGCCCCAGUUUCAGUGUAUCAGUGAAAGCACUAGUAUUUUGCCCCAUUUCACUCUAGAUUUACUGUUGUAGUUUCAGUGCAAUUCGCUAGGUCAAAUCUCUAGUAUUUUUUGCCCAAUAAUUAUUGUGUCCUGUUUUCCAGUGUAAUUCAAUCUACAGUUACUGUGUAAUGUAUCCCGGUAGUUUGAGCUCUAGAAUUACUGUGUAAUUUAUCCCGUAGUUUGAGCUCUACAAUUACUGUGUAAUUUGACCUAGAAUUACUGUGUAUUUUUUCUCGAAAUUUCAGUGUAAUCUACAAGUACUGUUAAUUCCAGGGUCCUGUUUCCAGUGUAAUCCGCAAGAAUUACGAUUAUUUACACUGUAAUCCCUUGCUACUGUUGUAGUUCCAGUGUAAUUACUGUGUAUUUCAUCCCAUAUUUUCAGUGUAAUUAUGCUUUUGGGAUUAAUGUGUCCUUGUAGACAAGAAUUAUUUCAUCCCCAUAUUUUCUACCUGCUGUAGAUUCCCUUGUUCUAGACUGUAAUACUCCCUGUUCUUCACUGUGCAUGUGUAGUAGCACUGCCUUCAUCACAGUGUGGUUCUGAAUUUCUAUGUGUUGUAUCUCUGACUUAGACCGUAUUUUCCCCUAGUUUUCAUUUGCUGCAGUUUCAUGCCCGAUGCAUAUUUGUAAUGUAUUUCUGAAGUUCACUGUAUUAUGUUGGUGUGCUGCAUGUAUUGUUAUCUUGUGCUUCUUCACUGUACAUCCCCAAAGUUACACUGUAAUACCCCUUCACUGUAUUAUUGCUGUUAGAUGAUAGUUGUAGGUGGCUGGUCGUGAUUUCCCCUGGUAGCUGAGGUGUGUCUGAAUGUGUUAAAGUAAUCUCACUGAAUUUGAUGCUUCUAUUUCAGUGUUUUUACCCCCCCCCCCCCCCCCCUAGACUGGUGUUUUCCACUGAUAUUUCCAGUCGAAUUUCAGUUUCCUUUCACUGUAUUAUUAGUGUAUUUUGUAGUCUAAUGUCAGUGUACUUACCUUGUAACUUGCAAUGUUAUAUGAGUGUACUAACUAUGUAAGUACACUGUAAUAUCAGUGUAUUUACAGUCUAAUAUCAGUGUAUUUACUUUGUUACUUGCACUGUAAUAUCAGUGUACUAACUAUGUAAUGGCACUGUAGUAUCGGUGUACUUACACUGUAAAUAACAGUGUAAUUUCAGUAAUUUUACUUCACAAUCCUAGUAAUUUCAACAGUGUAUUUUUAGUCGUGCAAGUGGAUCUCUUUGUAUUUGUAGCUCAAAAUUACUGUGGAUCUUACCCCUCAUAAUUUCAGUGUAACUACUGUCCCUGCUUUUACAGUGUAAUUCUCCCAUAUUUUUUUUGUAAUUACUGUGUAAUUCUCAUGCCCAUGUUUUACGACUGUGUAAUUUACAGUGUUAUACUCCCAUAUUACAGUGCAAUUCUCAUGCCCAUGUUUGUAAUUACUGUGUAACAUGUCCUAGUAGUACUGUGUAAUUUACAGUGUAAUACUUCCAAAUGCUCCAGAAUUACUGUGUAAUUUAUCAUCCAAUUACAGUGUAAUUUGUCGUAACAGUACUGUGUAGUUUUCCCCCUAGUUCCAGUGUAAAUCUUUGAUUUACAGUGUCCUGAGAUAUGCAAGAUUUUUCAGUGUAUUAUGCCAUGGAAUCACUGUGUAAUUUGUCCUAGCAUUUACACAGUAAUUUUAGCCCAACUACUCAUGUAUUUUACAGUGUAUAUGCCCCGAUUUUACAGUGUAUUAUGCACUAGAAUCACUAUCUAGUAUGUCAUGAUUACACAACAAUUCUGGGAGGAAAGUUACCCCUUUUUCAGUGUAGUUUUAAUGUAGUUUUAUUCCGUAAUCAUCUUGCUUAGUUUAUGUUUUUAUAAUAUAUUUUUGCGCCUAUUUUUUGUAGUGUAAUGUUCAUGCUUUAGCUCUGUAAUUUUCAGGUUUAGAUUUAUGGGAAAGCUUCAGAAAGUCUCUCACCAGGAUGUUCCGUUAAUGUCAUCUUUUGAGAGUGCAGAUUCUAUUCGUGAACCAUUCGUGCCUAAUGACUUUGCGGAAGAUGGAUCAUAUCCAAUGUCUACGGAGCCUUUGACAAAGCUCUUUUCAAGUUCUAUGUUAAUCAAGUUGGUUAUCUGCUUCUUUUUUCUUGUUCUUGCUGUUUUAUGUUUGUUUGUUAUUUUCUCUUGUUGAGGUGACUUUUGGCUUUAUGUUUUUUCAGAAAGGAAAAUCACUGAAGAGGAAGUUAUCAUCUGUUCGUAGAAGAAAUGUGGAAUCUCUCAAUGUCUUCUUCAUCGAGGUAUUCAUUGUCAUCUUGUUCAUGUGAGUGCUCUGAUUCUGGUAUUUUUGUUUCUUCAUUGUUCUGGCAACUAUUGUUUUCUCUUGUUGCUGCUGAACUGGGGUCAUCAUCUUCAGCCACCUGCAUUCAUAGCAAUUUGCUUCAGUAUUUUAUUUCUUACUAGUUUUCAACUUCUAUGUAUGUAUCUUGUUAGUGAAUUUUGGUCUUUUACCUGUUCCACAUUUAUGGUGCCAAAAGGGUCUGCAUGCUAGGGGUUUUCUUCUGUUGCACCUUCUUCGGUUGGUGCAGUUUCAGUUUCCAUUUCGUCGAAUGUCUGCAGAAUAGUACUGAAGCUGUAAGUAGCUCUCUUAUUUUUGUCAGAUCAUGAUAGUUUAUCCAAAUUUUUGUCACUUACUGUCGAAUGGACUGAUGUGUUGUUGCUGUUAUGAGUUCUGUUACUCGAUGCACCUCCAUUUGCUGAAUGUACCUGUAAGAAACAUGCUCAUAAAAUAUAGUUCUUGCUGUAAUAUCACAACAAAUGAAACCCAUUUCUUUUCCAAGAAGCUGUAAAAGUAGUACUGUUUUUGUAAGAAUUUUUUCUUACCUUGUAUAUAAUGUCUGAGUGUAGGAGCGCAAUAAAAGAAAAUGAUUCCUGCAGUGUUUUUGUAUGUUAGAUUUUGUUUUUGAUGUACUCAGCUUUUUCUUAUAAGUUUUUGACGUUUAUUGGUACUUACAUUUAGGAUGAGAUCUUCAUGUGACAUUGACAGUAGUUCGUCUUCUGUUAUUAUCCUUGUCAUGCUCCCCAUCUGCAUAUUUUGGAAAAGAAAUGUCAGUGUUAGUACAACAAACAUAUGUAUAGUCCAAAGGAAUUACAGUAUAAUUCCUGUAAUCUCUAGAACAGUCCAAAUGAUUUACACAGUAAUUACUGUAAUCUCUAGGGGGGUUUCCCCAUUUGCCGAUGAAUUACAGUAUAAUUCGGAAAGUUUCUGCUAGUGUAAAAAUUGUGUUACAUUCCAUUUCCCCAUUUCCCUCUGUAAUUGAUUGGCAAUUUUACAUUGUAAUUCGUUUUGUAUUUUUACCCUGUACACUUUAACACUCGAAUUACUAUAAUUACUAUGGGAUUUACACUGUAAUUACUGUUGUAUUGCAGUUUAUUCCAUAGGUAGUUUCAGUGUAAGUUGACAAAUUUCACUGUAAUUCAUCGGCAGUUACACUGUAGGUCUGUUACCAUUUUAGGCAAUACCCUGAUUUUCAGUGUAAGUUGGCAUGGUUUUGCUACUGUCCUGUGUAUUGUCAUUUCAGGCAUCAGGUGUUGUUUCAGUGUAAUUUCUUCAACUAUGCAAGUUUUUUCUACUGCUACUGAUCAACUAUUUGCAGAGUAUUAAGUUUUCUCUACUGUUGAGAUUACAGUGAAAUUUAUGCUGAGAUUUAUGGUGUUAUGUAGGAGGGGUGGAGAGGGGUUUCCCUUUUCCGUGCGUAGCAAGUUGAUGGCAAGCAGGGAAGUUGUGGCCAGCUGUUAGCUGUGGUCUAGGGAGGGUUUGGUGGGGCUGGUUUACUGGAAACCGGGGCAGGGUUAUGCCCGACCCGUUUUUGCCGAAAUACAGAAAAUAAAGUGGCUGGUGGGAGGUUUUUUUGGGACAUACAGGUGUCAUCUGUUCAUUUGCUAUGAAAUUUGAAUGUUGUCAAAUUGAAAAAUAGUCGAAUGUCAAAUAGACAGUCCCUAAAUAUAUCCCUCUUGUGUUCUUUUAGGAAAAGAAAAUUUGUCAUUUUUUCAGGUUCCUAAUACAGUGUCCCACGCAUCAUCUCUUUUGUUCAAAUAGAACAUUU